AGGACGAACGCUGGCGGCGUGCUUAACACAUGCAAGUCACGGGGGCCCGCAAGGGUAACCGGCGAACGGGUGCGUAACACGUGAGCAACCUGCCUAGAUGUGGGGGAUAGCCGGCCCAACGGCCGGGUAAUACCGCAUACGGUCACGAGGAGGAGUCUCCUUGUGAAGAAACCUCCGGGGCAUUUAGAGGGGCUCGCGGCCUAUCAGCUAGUUGGCGGGGUAAUGGCCCACCAAGGCUUCGACGGGUAGCUGGUCUGAGAGAAUGGCCAGCCACAUUGGGACUGAGAGACGGCCCAGACUCCUACGGGAGGCAGCAGUGGGGAAUCUUGCGCAAUGGCCGAAAGGCUGACGCAGCGACGCCGCGUGUGGGAGGACGCCCGUUCGGGGUGUAAACCCGACUGUUGCCCGGGACGAACAUCCACUUUCGAGUGGACUGACGGUACCGGGUGAGGAGCACCGGCUAACUCCGUGCCAGCAGCCGC
rnacentral:rRNA from 1 species